rnacentral:rRNA from 1 species
CGAAGGGUGCAAGCGUUAAUCGGAAUUACUGGGCGUAAAGCGCGCGUAGGUGGUUCGUUAAGUUAGGAGUGAAAGCCCCGGGCUCAACCUGGGAAUUGCUUCUAAAACUGGCGGACUAGAGUAUGGUAGAGGGUGGUGGAAUUUCCUGUGUAGCGGUGAAAUGCGUAGAUAUAGGAAGGAACAUCAGUGGCGAAGGCGACCACCUGGACUGAUACUGACACUGAGGUGCGAAAGCGUGGGGAGCAAACAGGAUU